rnacentral:rRNA from 1 species
UACAGAGGGGGCAAGCGUUGUUCGGAAUUACUGGGCGUAAAGGGCUCGUAGGCGGCCAACUAAGUCAUACGUGAAAUCCCUCAGCUUAACUGGGGAACUGCGUGUGAUACUGGAUGGCUUGGAUUUGGGAGAGGGAUGCGGAAUUCCAGGUGUAGCGGUGAAAUGCGUAGAUAUCUGGAGGAACACCGGUGGCGAAGGCGGCAUCCUGGACCGCAUUGACGCUGAGGCGCGAAAAGCUAGGGGAGCAAACGGGG